UACAGAGGUCUCAAGCGUUGUUCGGAUUCAUUGGGCGUAAAGGGUGCGUAGGCGGCGCGGUAAGUCGGGUGUGAAAUCUCGGAGCUUAACUCCGAAACUGCAUCCGAUACUGCCGUGCUUGAGGACUGGAGAGGAGACUGGAAUUUACGGUGUAGCGGUGAAAUGCGUAGAUAUCGUAAGGAAGACCAGUGGCGAAGGCGGGUCUCUGGACAGUUCCUGACGCUGAGGCACGAAGGUCAGGGGAGCAAACGGG
rnacentral:rRNA from 1 species